AUGUUGUUUUCUUCAGCCCCAGCAACAAUUGUUUCUUGUGACUUUCUGCGGGACUCUGAGGAAUGCUGGGAUGAUAAUCACAGAAACCAGUCGCGCCUCUGGAAAGCCCAUAAUUCUGCAGACUCAUGGAGCUUCACUCUGAUUCCAAAUCCAGAAAGACCAGCAUGUCUCUCAUGGAGACACUUGAAAUCCUUUCCACAUCUUCAUUCAUCAUGCUUGGGAAAGUGGCAAAGCAGGUGGAGAAGGUGGUCAAAUGCCUUAACAUGGAUCAUCUGCUUGCGGCAGGCUUUCCAGACACUCAUGAGCUCUCCAGGCUCACUCCUACUGGCUCACAACUUUGGCGAGAAGAGAGUGAAGUCUAGCAACUGAGUCUCGCUGGAAUGACUUGGUUCAUGUUCCCACUGCUGAUCCUAUCACUGCGGAUGGUGAGACACAGCACUAUUGGCUCUAUGGAGUGAGA
rnacentral:lncRNA from 1 species